rnacentral:rRNA from 1 species
GUGGGGAAUCUUGCGCAAUGGGCGAAAGCCUGACGCAGCAACGCCGUGUGAGCGAAGAAGGCCUUCGGGUCGUAAAGCUCUGUCAGGGGGGACGAAGUCAGUGACGGUACCCCCGGAGGAAGCCCCGGCUAACUACGUGCCAGCAGCCGCGGUAAUACGUAGGGGGCGAGCGUUGUCCGGAAUUACUGGGCGUAAAGGGCGUGUAGGCGGCCGAUCAAGUCAGGUGUGAAAAUCCAGGGCUCAACCGUGGACGUGCACUUGAAACUGGUUGGCUUGAGUGCAGGAGAGGAAAGUGGAAUUCCCAGUGUAGCGGUGAAAUGCGUAGAUAUUGGGAGGAACACCAGUGGCGAAGGCGACUUUCUGGCCUGUAACUGACGCUGAGGCGCGAAAGCUAGGGGAGCAAACAGGAUUAGAAACCCUAGUAGUCC